CAAAGACAUUCCUGAGACAUGGAAGUUGGCCCUGAGGCGGGACAGGCCUGGACCUGUUGGACAAAGAAAAAUUUCAGGAAUGCAUGAGGGCAUUCACCAGCCGGACAGUCACGGAGUCCACCAUGGCAGGGUACCAGCCAGUACGGCAAAAGGAAGAGGUCCCCACUUGCCACGGGCGUCAUCAGAUCCAGUGCCUUCAAAAGACAUCCUGCAUGCCUGACACAAAGAUCUGUUUUAAAUAAAUAACUUCUGCUGGUAACCUAAUACUCGCUCUCCUCCUACCACCUAGUGACGUCACCGGCUCCUCCAUUCCCUAGUCACUGCCUCACUCAACCCCGCCUCAGCUCCUACAAACCCCACCCCAGUCUCUAUAAAAGGCACUUGCUGUCCUGGCCAUAUUGCUUUUGUCUCUCCUUUGUUCGGAGACACCCUGGCA
ensembl:lncRNA